rnacentral:rRNA from 1 species
AGCUCCAAUAGCGUAUAUUAAAGUUGUUGCAGUUAAAAAGCUCGUAGUUGGAUCUGAGGAUGUGAGCUGAUGGUCCGCCACGCGGUGUGACUGUCGGCUCGGCCUACCUAGCCGGUGUCUGCCCCUGGUGCUCUUAGCUGAGUGCCUUGGGUGCCCGGCACGUUUACUUUGAAAAAAUUAGAGUGCUCAAAGCAGGCCGUGAGCCUGAAUAGUGGUGCAUGGAAUAAUGGAAUAGGACUUCGGUUCUAUUUUGUUGGUUUUCGGAACCCGAGGUAAUGAUUAAGAGAGACAGACGGGGGCAUUCGUAUUGCGGUGUUAGAGGUGAAAUUCUUGGAUCGCCGCAAGACGAACAACUGCGAAAGCAUUUGCCAAGAAUGUUUUCAUUAAUCAAGAACGAAAG